GACGAACGCUGGCGGCGUGCCUAAUACAUGCAAGUCGAACGCAUUUUCUUUCACCGUAGCUUGCUACACCGAAAGAAAAUGAGUGGCGAACGGGUGAGUAACACGUGGGUAACCUGCCCAUCAGCGGGGGAUAACACUUGGAAACAGGUGCUAAUACCGCAUAAUUCCAUUUACUGCAUGGUAGAUGGAUGAAAGGCGCUUUUGCGGCACUGAUGGAUGGACCCGCGGUGCAUUAGCUAGUUGGUGGGGUAACGGCCUACCAAGGCUGCGAUGCAUAGCCGACCUGGGAGGGUGGUCGGCCACCCUGGGACUGGGACACGGCCCAGACUCCUACGGGAGGCAGCAGUAGGGAAUCUUCGGCAAUGGACGCAAGUCUGACCGAGCAACGCCGCGUGAGUGAAGAAGGUUUUCGGAUCGUAAAACUCUGUUGUUAGAAAAGAACAAGGAUGAGAGUGGAAAGUUCAUCCCUUGACGGUAUCUAAACAGAAAGCCACGGCUAACUACGUG
rnacentral:rRNA from 1 species